rnacentral:rRNA from 1 species
UAUCCCCUGUGUGCCUUGUUCCCACGACUACGCUAUCACUCCUACGGGAGGCAGCAGUGGGGAAUAUUGCACAAUGGGGGAAACCCUGAUGCAGCCAUGCCGCGUGUGUGAAGAAGGCCUUCGGGUUGUAAAGCACUUUCAGUAGGGAGGAAGGUAGUGUAGUUAACACCUGCAUUAUUUGACGUUACCUACAGAAGAAGCACCGGCUAACUCCGUGCCAGCAGCCGCGGUAAUACGGAGGGUGCGAGCGUUAAUCGGAAUUACUGGGCGUAAAGCGCAUGCAGGCGGCCUGUUAAGUCAGAUGUGAAAGCCCGGGGCUUAACCUCGGAAUUGCAUUUAGAAACUGGCAGGCUAGAGUCUUGUAGAGGGGGUAGAAUUUCAGGUGUAGCGGUGAAAAUGCGUAGAGAUCUGAAGGAAUACCAGUGGCGAAGGCGGCCCCCUGGACAAAGACUGACGCUCAGAUGCGAAAGCGUGGGGAGCAAACAGGAUUAGAUACCCUGGUAG